UACGUAGGCAGCAAGCGUUGUUCGGAGUUACUGGGCGUAAAGCGUAUGUAGGCGGUUGGGUAAGUUUGGUGUGAAAUCUCCCGGCUUAACUGGGAGGGUGCGCUAAAGACUGCCUGGCUCGAGUGUGGGAGAGGAAAGCGGAAUUCCUGGUGUAGCGGUGAAAUGCGUAGAUAUCAGGAGGAACACCUGCGGUGUAGACGGCUUUCUGGACCAUAACUGACGCUGAGAUACGAAAGCGUGGGUAGCAAACAGG
rnacentral:rRNA from 1 species